UACGGAGGGUGCAAACGUUGUCUGACUGAAUCGUGGCGUAAAGUGCGUGUAGGCGGCUUUGCAAGUCGGGUGUGAAAGCCCUCAGCUCAACUGAGGAAGUGCGCCCGAAACUGCAGAGCUUGAGUACCGGAGAGGAUGGCGGAAUUCCCGAAGUAGAGGUGAAAUUCGUAGAUAUCGGGAGGAACACCGGUGGCGAAGGCGGCCAUCUGGACGGAUACUGACGCUGAGACGCGAAAGCGUGGGGAGCAAACAGG
rnacentral:rRNA from 1 species